CCUACGGGAGGCUGCAGUAGGGAAUAUUGCUCAAUGGGGGAAACCCUGAAGCAGCAACGCCGCGUGGAGGAUGAAGGUUUUCGGAUUGUAAACUCCUUUUGUUAGAGAAGAUAAUGACGGUAUCUAACGAAUAAGCACCGGCUAACUCCGUGCCAGCAGCCGCGGUAAUACGGAGGGUGCAAGCGUUACUCGGAAUCACUGGGCGUAAAGAGGGCGUAGGCGGGAUAGCAAGUCAGAUGUGAAAUCCUAUGGCUUAACCAUAGAACUGCAUUUGAAACUGUUAUUCUAGAGUAUGGGAGAGGUAGGUGGAAUUCUUGGUGUAGGGGUAAAAUCCGUAGAGAUCAAGAGGAAUACUCAUUGCGAAGGCGACCUGCUAGAACAUAACUGACGCUGAUGCGCGAAAGCGUGGGGAGCAAACAGGAUUAGAUACCCCAGUAGUC
rnacentral:rRNA from 1 species